GUGCGUCGGGAGGGGAGGGAGAAACAGCGCACAUCAGCAACACACCAACAAACUCAUCAAAAUAUAUAUCCAGUAUUUCAACAACAACAACAACACAAUAUACCCAGAAUUUCAAGAACAACACACCAAACACUAGAGCUAGGACAAGGGUUAGAGGAGGGACAUAUAGGAACAAGUAUUACAAGAAUGACCCUUAUCCUCAUCCUUCUCCCUCUGUGAAAUAGCGUCCUACCAGAGCCUGUAGGAGUCUCAACCAGCUGGGACUUCCUAUGGGAUCUCGGGUUAAGGACGCCACUCCCUUGUGAAAUAGCAUCCUGCCAGAGCCUGUAGGAAUCUCAACCAGCUGGGACUUCCUACAGACAUCUAGGGUUAAGGAUGCCACUCCCUCGUGAAACAGCGUCCUGCCAGAGCCUGUAGGAAUCUCAACCAGCUGGGACUUCCUAUGGGAUCUCAGGUUAAGGAUGCCACUCCCUUGAGAAAUAGCAUCCUGCCAGAGCCUGUAGGAGUCUCAACCAGCUGGGACUUCCUACAGGUAUCUAAGGUUAAGGACGCCACUCCCUUGUGAAAUAGCGUCCUGCCAGAGCCUGUAGGAAUCUCAACCAGCUGGGACUUCCUAUGGGAUCUCGGGUUAAGGACGCCACUCCCUUGUGAAAUAGCGUCCUGCCAGAGCCUGUAGGAGUCUCAACCAGCUGGGACUUCCUACAGGCAUCUAGGUAGGAGUUGUAGGAUGCCACAGGAGGGAUAGGAUGUCUAAGAGUGGUUCCUGUAGGACUUGUAGCUACUUACGGCAUCCUGGGAAGUCCUUAACCUAACCAAUGCAACAACAGGUAACCAGCAUGCAAUAGUAGCAGUGUCGGUAGCUAUAGAAGUAGUAGUAGUAGUAGUAGUAGUAGUAGUAGUAGUGGUGGUGGAGAGACAGUGUAGCUUAUACUUACGUGGGCGCAACAUGACUCACUCUCAAGGCACUUUCAAGGCACUCACCAGGCACCACCCAAGACCCCAAGACCAAGGCCGCCCCAUGGCACCACAGGGCAUGCCAACCACCACCUGUGUGUGCCCUUGACAGCUUGACAGGGCAGCGAAGGCAACAGAAGAGGAGGAGAUAGACAGACAGAGACGGACAGCAGCGAAACUUCAAUACAUCGCUGGAUACCGCAAUCAUACCAGGUUAGGAUUGAGACGGGAUUGUGAGGAUAAGCGUGAAUGGUGUUGUGUCCCGGGGAGUCCUUCCUAGGGGUAUCCUGAGGUCCUUUGAGCCUUGGCACCCUUACUAACUGAAGGAGAAAUAGGCUUUGCUGAUAAUCUUAAAAAGUCCUUUUAGACCAUCAAAUCGACCUUUUCGUCCCUUGAUAUAGACCGGAUAAGGCUUUCAGAUUAUCAUAAGGUCAUUUCCCAAGCCUUACUGACCUUCAAGUCCCUCAUAAUGACCUUUUAGACCAUUAAAUCGACCUUUUCAUCCCUUGGUAUAGACAGGACAAGGCUUUCAGAGUAUCCUAAGGUCAUUUCCCAAGCCUUACUGAUCUUCAAGUCCCUCAAUAUGACCUUUUAGACCAUCAAACAGACCCUUUCUCUUUUCAGUAUAGAUGGGACAAGGCUUUCAGAGGACCAAUGGAUGCCUAGGGAGGGUUAGCCAGGUAAGGGAGGGAAGGGAGGAGCUGUGCAGUGAUGGGUGAGGGACUUGGCGAAGCUGAUGGGUGAGGGAGAGGAAGGGAGAAGGAAGGAAGGGAGGAAGUGAGGGAGAAAGGAAGGAAGGAAGGAAGGAAGGAAGGAAAGAAAAAUGAGAGUUGAAAGAAUGGGAGAGAGAGAGAGGAAAAGAGAAGAUAGAUAUAUAGAAAAGAUAGAGAGGAAAGAUAAAGAGAAGAGAAGAGGAGGAGGAAGGAAGAGAGAGGAAGACAGGGACGCAUAGGUCAUAACAGUAAUAGAAAAGAUAGAAAGAGAAGAGGAGGAGGAGGA